UAUGAAGGAGGUAAUGUGACACUGUACUGUUUCUCACUAUCUGCAUUAUAUUAUAUGCCCAGUAUAGACUUUUGCAGUGACCUCUAAAUGUAUAGCGAAACUGUAUCUCCUUUGGCCAGCUCUAUCAUCCAGAGGGAUCAAUGAACUCCUACUGAUAUCAGACAACCGGGAGGGGCUACGUUUUUUUUCUUGACCCUUCCUCUCUUAAGUUCACAAGACGGUAAACCUUCAAAGACUGGCCAAUGGAACCAUACAAUAUUUAGCGUACAUGCAGCCCCAGAAACCUCUGCAUGUAAUGGAGUACUGGUUUGGGUGGUUCGAUGUCUGGAGUGAAUCUCACCAUGCAUUUCCAGCAGAGGAUUAUGAUGCUCCGUUAUCCGAGGCUGGAGAUUACACCACCAAGUAUCCGCUCUUGAGGAAUUUAUUCAGCCAGUUUCACAAUUGAGUGCAACAAGCCAGUGGAACUCUGUCCCCCAGAAGCCUUCCUUCCCAGGGUUCUUCCAGGGCAGGCUGUGUGUGGACGGCCAUCCCAGAGACACCUUCAUCCCAGAAACACAAGCAUUUCGCUACACUUGCAUUAACAUCUGCUAACCAUGUGUAUGUGACCAAUACAAUUUGAUUUGAUUUAAUUUAAUUUGAUCAGACUGCCUGUGUGUAAAGUAGCCCAACAGGCUUUGUGGUUAUGAGAGAGAGCACCACCUGUCCAUAUUGUAUCCCUGCUGGCUUAUUCGUAUAGUAUAGUAGACCUAUCUCUGGUUUAUUGGUGUACUGUAUAUUGUUGUAGGCCCAUCCCUCAUCAGACACACAUACAGUAGUGAUAAAAUACGUUCUUAGAAAAACUCUUAACUCUCAGUGUCAAGUCACUGAUUACAGUGUUUCCAGAAACAGGGUUGGAGUAAAGGAGUGGUCUUUAUCAACGGGCAGAAUCUUGGACGUCACAGGUCUGUCGUUCCCCAGCAAACCCUUUACCUCCCUGGACCUUGGCUUAAAAGUGGAAAUAAUCAAGUACAACUGAAAAAAUCUCCUAUAACUUCCAAGAGAUAUAUCAUUCUAGUCUUCUGAGGUGUUUUCAGAAGUUGUUCUCAUGUUUACAGUGUCAUGUAUUCUUAUACAUUUCUUAUCAGCCUUCAUUUGUACAGUUUAUCCUCAAAUCCAGACACUGAUACAGGCUAGAAUAGUUUGUUAAAUGGAUCUGUGUUUUCUUUGUUUUCAUUCUUUUAGAUCUUCGUGUUCGAGAAACAUAAAGAUGAUGAUAAAUUUGUUUUUGUUGAAAAUCCUGAUCAUGGAAAAACAUUUGAUGUAUACAAACAUCCAUUUUGUGUUUUGCUUUGAAAUUAUCAAUAUUUAAAAUAAAACAAUGACACAGCAAGUUAUUAUAAUAUAGUAAUAACAUGGUAAAAUACAAAGCUAUGAUUACCGUAACACGCUGUAUGUAUGUAAUGUUGUUUUUGUGUUAUGGGAUGGGUCUACCACUGAAUGUGAUAAUAGACAUGUAUUUAUAUGUAGCCUAGAACCCAGUCAUAAGGCAAGUUACAUACAUGGAAAAACAAGACAUUUAGUGGCAGAAUGCAGACUAUUACAACGAAGAAAGGUGAGAUGGAAGAGAUAAAGGACAACAAAGUUCAAAGGUCCUCAAGGUCAAAUGCAGGUGUGUGAAACAUUCCAGUUUCAGUGCCUCACUAGCUGUCCGGAUAGGCAGUGUUAUUGUCAUUCUAAAUUGAAAUAUAGAUAAAUAAACAAAGAUAAUUCGUAAAAAUCCAAAUAACUUCACAGAUUGUAAAGAGUUUAAACACUGUUUCCCAUGCUUGUUCAAUGAACCCUAAACAAUGAAUGAACAUGCACCUGUGGA